UCUCUGUGAUGAUGAAAACAGAUGACGAGUCCGAUGCAAUCCAUUCUACAAAACCGUGUGGACAAUCGAGGCAUUUGUCUGAGAGAA
rnacentral:snoRNA from 2 species